ensembl:rRNA 5S_rRNA 5S ribosomal RNA
GCUUACGGCCAUACCUCUCUGGCUCCGCCAGAUCUCGUCUGAUCUCAGAAGCUAAGCAGAGUAGGCCCUGGUUAGUACUGAGAUGAGAAGACCCCCCUGAGAAAUCCCGUGUGCCGUAAGCU